rnacentral:lncRNA from 1 species
CUAAACUUUCCAUACAGAAAUAAGAAUUCACAAGAAGUGAAAAUGUUUUCCCUUUCAAAUUUUUCUUUUCUUCUUUGUGACUUUACAGAAUUGCUUAAAACUGGUACUGUCAUCUCUCAUAAACAACAAGUGCCCAACAAUAACAUUAGCAGUGAAUAUCCCUUAUUUAAAGUAGAGCAUAAUUAAAUUGUUAAUAUUUUUAUGGAGAAGUCGUUGUGGUCCUAGUGGAAAGAGCAAAACUUCUGUGCCCUGAGACCUAGCCUCAGUUCCAGCUGUUCCCUCACUGCCGCUGCAGCAUCAGAGGUUCAGUCAUCUUCAAACCUACUUUCCCACAGUAUGAUUCACUAUUUCGUGUGUUUGUUGGGUCUUUUAGACUCAUUCACUUCUCUUUAAUAUUUGAGUUCUCCUUUCUUCCAUCAUUUCAACUUCUUCAAAAGAGGCCCAGUUAGAUACUGUCAUCUCUACUAAAAGAUUUAUUCAAGAACAGCUCCUUGGCCUCUGGCCACUUUAUGGAUUGACUGUUCUUGGGUCAGCUGCCAGUCCAUUCAGUUCCUCUGUGGCAGUUUACACAAAAGGAAUCAAGGGUUAUGUGCUUAGUGAACACUCCAAUGUUUGGCCUAUCCAGACUGUAAUGAGGACAAAAAAAUCACUUCAGGAGUAUAUCACAGAGCAGGUCAGAAGAAAAGGUAGGUUCCUCAGUGCUGGAAAACAAUAGUUUAGGCAGGCAGAAUAAUAUCCUAGCAAAUCAAUCUUUAUAGGAGGUGAUUCUUAUGAAAAAAGUUUUGAGCUCACUGGGUUUCAAAGAAAUAGACAGAAGGAAUGGGAGGGUUUUAAAGAUAGUACUUAAUCACAGGUACUAGUGAGCUGUAGACUCUUGGUCUCACUCCACAGUAUUUUUUUUUUAGUACAAUUUUUUUUAAGUUGUCAAUUGACCUUUAUUUUAUUUAUUUAUAUGUGGUGCUAAGACUCAAACCCAAUGCCUCAUACAUGCUUAGGCAAGUGUUCUACCACUGAGCCACAACCCCAGCCCUCUCUAUAGUAGUUUUUAUAAUUUCUCUCCAGAUUAAAGCUUCAACCAACUAAGUGAUACUGUUUCCUCUAUAUAAGUUGCCUUUUAACUUUUUUAUUUUUUAACUUUUAUUUUGACAAUAUCACAGAAAAAUGCAAGAAUAAUACAUUGUUUUGCUUUCAGUUCAGCAGUAAAGUGUGCCCUGAAUCACCAGUGUUUUAUCUAUCAUCUGUUUGGCAGUAUGAACCCAAGAGAACUCUCUUUAAAUUCCAUUUUAGUUUAUGUUCGUUUUUCAUACCACUUACUCUAUGUCAGUCUCCAGUUUAAGAAAAAGUUGGUUCUAUCUCUAACAGUAGCUCAUGUAAUGUUUUAGGCUAAUAGCUUUCGGAAUCUCAAGUUUUACCACUUAGAGGCCUGUUAAUCUUUCUAAUGCAAAGUAUGCAGUAAAUUGCGAAGUGCAAAACUCGAGAAAAUGUCUCUAGAGACCUGCAGCAUAACAUGGUGUUAAUUAGUAAUACAUGGGGUUAAGUGUGAAGACAGGAACACUUAAUCAUUAAUUCUAACAAAAUAAAAUAAAAGAUAGUACUCCAAAUUUUACCCUUAGGAAAAACCUUAAAAACCUAACCUUCUCCUCAAACUCCAUUUCAAACAUUUUACUCAUUUUGGCCCAAAGCUUGGAAACCCCAGGAUAGGAGUCAUUCAACAGGCUACCACCAUCAGUAUACUUUGGGUCCUGUCUCUCAGACUCUUUAGGUUUUCCUUUGAGACACAUGGUAUCUUCCUUGCAUCAUCAAAUUGUAAAAUGUCUUUUUUUGCUUUCUCUCUCCUUUUUUCUCUCCUAUAUCUCAGGUGACUAAAGGUAAAGGUAUUGAUUUGUGAAAUGGUUUUGGUUUGAAUUACAAUCUCCCUUAAGGAUAUUAGUGUGAACCACUGAAUCAGGGUACCACCUGGCCUCCAAGACUACAGAAAUUUCUCAUUUUUUUUUUCAGUGUGUCACUUUAUAUGUACUGCAGACUAUUAGAAAGUUCUUUUUUAUAAAAAGAAACAGUAUACUUAUUUUGUUCCAUUUAAUUGUGCUAACUUCACAAAUUGCUUUUAGAGUUGAGGUUAAACUUUAUACAUUGUUUCACAUGGUGGGCAUACAACUUCAGGGGCCAUCAUAGUGUAUACACUUACCAUUCAAAUGCUUAUGUGACUGGGAGGGAACCUACUGUGAUUUCUGUACUAUAAAACUUAUAAUUAGAAUAAAAAAGUGGUAAAAUGCUCAGGAUGCCCAGAGUCUACCAAAAUGUAAAUCACAGUGUCAAUAACCAAAAUGUAGGUCUUAUUGAGUCAAUGCAUGUUUGAGAAGACCACUAAUGUUGUUUUUCUUUGUUUAUGUUACUUAAAUCUGCAAAUAUUUUUAAAGUUUGAGAGUUCACUUACAUUUUCCCUAGCUGCUUAAUGAAAUAGAACAGGAAACCAAAAUGCAAAUGGUGUAAUGUGAACUUUAAAAAAGGGAUGACAGUACUUGAGUUUAGGUGAAUUCUUUUUAAACUGUGCAAAUGAGCAUCUGUGCUUGGGAGAAUGGCAGCACAGUGCCAUACAAUGGUGCGUGGUCCUUUGAAAGAACUUUAUGUGUUGAUGACCUUCAAGGCCUGGAAUACCAAACUAAAUAAAUGAUUUGGGAGAAAUCAGGGUUCUUCUCAAACUUAACUAUAGAUAAUGCCUCAUCAAGGGCAGAGUAUCACUGGAUUCUUCAAUAAUAGAGGAUAUUCUAGCUGUUUGCUAAGGACAACUUAACAUUAUAAUUAGAUAUUUGGUGCUAUUAAAUUAUACUCACAUGCCCAGGAAGGAAGAACAAUCUGAACAUUAAACAGCAAGGUAGCAAUGUAUAGUUUUGCUCAAAACUCAUGUCUUGAGCACUCAUCAGUGUAGUGCUGUUUGCCAGCUUCUGGCCCACAAAAAUGCAAGGACGAGGCCUUUGUUCUUGAUGUGCUUACAAGACAGACAAGUAAACAUUUAUUGUACACUGUCAGUCUAACAGCCCUCUAAGAGCUAUGGCACAAACUUGAACUUGAUUACUCCAUUGCUGAUCAGUGUUCUGGCCCACAACUAGACUACUGAAUCAGAGUCUCUGAGAUGGACCUUGGAAUCUGUUAGGUCUCAUUGGACAGCCUGGCAGAGGGACCACUGCUCCAGACUGAUUGCUGUGCACCCAGAUACUCUGCCUCUACCUCCCAAGAUCUUGGAAGCUGUGUCUUUGUAGACUACUCUCCUGUUGAGAGGAGGGAGUUAGUUGCCGCAGUCUGUCUGGCUGCAGCAAAAUAACCGGGGGGUGACGAACAACUUGUGCACGUUGAUACAGCAGGAGUGGGAGCCGUUUAUUGCAGGACAGGAGCAGUAUUUAUACAUUCCACACAGCUUAUCUAAUUAGCACAAACUAGAUACAUCAGUCAACCAAUAAGGAAUCUCCACACUUAAUGGCUCGCUUUUGUUACUUCUCAAACCACUCCCUCUGGCAUUUUGCCAGGCACCAUCCAGACUUGUUUACGAACUCUAACAUUCCCCUGGCAAAAUGCCAGGUGUUAUUUUUGACUUGUUUACAGACUCUAACAGUUAGUCAUUCUACAUAAUCCCCCUGAGAGGACUGAAUGGGACUAUAGAAUAGGUUGAGAAGUGUUCCUUGGAAGCAUCCAGAUGUGCCACCAAGAUAUGAAAAUAUAAUCUAAAAUCAUGUACUUUGAGAGUUUGUGUUCUUCUAGAUGACUACAUAAUUGGAACUCUUGCCCCAUUUCCUCUUUCCUAUUCCCAUUGCUUAUGAGUUGUCUUACUACUCAUUGAGCUAAUAUAGGUGUGAAAGGUAAUUUUCAACUUAAAGACCUUGUUAAAAGGUGGGAAAGAAUGUGCGUACCUAGUAUUUAAGAUUGCCAAAUAUAUAUAAUGCAUUGAGAAUAGGUUUUGUUUUUUGGUUUUUUGUGCUAAAUGGUUUCGCUUUUUUAAAACUGAGGUUGAAUUAAUGUAGACAUGUGAGGCAGUCUAGAAAUUGAUAUUUGAAAGUUGCAUCUCAGACUGUUUUCUAUCCAAAUUCUUUUGGUAAGGAGACCACUCAACUGUUACUGGGUUUGCCAUAGCCAAAGGAUCUGGAGCGUGCUAGAGGUUUUACUGUAUAUUAGUCAUAGUAGAUUAACUGCCAUAGCAAAUAGUAGCUUAACACUGUAUAUUUCUUGUAUAUGUAUGUAUGUGACACUAAUCCCAUUAAGGGGACUCUGCCCUCAUAAACUCUUCUAAACCUAUUUCCUACAGGUCCCAUUGCCCAAUACCAUCACAUUGGGUGUUAGAGCUUCAAGAUAUGAAUUUGGUGGGGGGCACAAACAUUCAGUUCAUAAUAGCCUCUAUUCCUUUUGACAUGGGGGAGUAAAAGUGCAAAACAAAAUUUGACAUUUUAAUUAUAUUAAGUGUACUAUUCAUUAGUGUUAAGUAUAGUCACAUCAUUGUGCAAACCAGUCUUUCAUCUUAAAAACAGAAACUCAUUACUCAUUAAAUAACUCCCCAUUUCCCCUCCUCCCAACCCUUGUCAACCACUUUUUCCUAUGAACUUGAUUUCUUUUUCCUAUGAACUUGAUUACUCCAGAUAACUCAUAAGUAGAAUCACACAGUAUUUGUUUGUGACUGGCUGCUGAGGUUCAUCUAUGUUGUAGCAUGUGUUCUAAUUUCCUUUUUUUUAAGUCUGAAUAAUUUUCCAUUGUAUGUGUAGAACUCAUUUUCUUUAUCUGUGUACACUUGAGCUGUGGUACCUUUUGGCUCUUGUGUAUCAUGCUGCCAAAGACAUGGGUGUGGCCUCUGUUACAAGUAAACGUGGAGAUUGCUCAAUAAGAGUCAUAAAGGGAGUCAUGGAGAUCAUCCCCAAAAAAAGGGCAUUUUCUGGAAGUAUUGUACUGGUAAAAAUAAUAUAUAUUAUCUAAGUUUAUAAUGUUAAGAAAAUUACUACUGUGUUUAUAGGAAAGUUUAAACGUGGAUUUAAUGACUGGAAAGCUAGCUUUUUCUAGAAACCAGUGUUUUCAUUCCUUGAAGUUAAUGAAGAAAAAAAUGUGUAUCAGCAUUGUUUUAUGACUGUUGAAGUCUAUGAAAAUAUAGUAACUGAAUUUUAGGAUUACUGAACUAAGAUUUACUUUUAUUUAUCAUUUAAUUAAUACAAAUAUAUUGAGCAUUUAAUGUGUAAGGAUAAUAGCAAUAAGUCAGUCCCUCAAGGAGUAACAAAUUUAGUAGGAACAAAUAAGGCAAAUAAAUAGAUACCUAAAAACAUCAGGUAGAAUCUUGAGAUCACGGGAGUUGUACAUCUAAAAUGUUAUAGCCCAUAGGGGAGGAGAUCUGGAAAAGAAAAAACAUUGAUUUUUGAAACUUAGCAGAUAUAGGUUUGAAUCUCAGAAAAACUGUCUCAUUGUAAUCUUGGGGAAGUUAAUAUCUAAUCUUCUAGCUUCCUUAUUAAGUUUGUGAUAAUAGCACUCACUUUCAGGUUUCUGUGAAGAUGAAAUAAUAUGUAUAAAUCUAACAGUGGUUGGUAUUACAAAUGUGGUAAUAAUUUUUAUUAAUAUAAGUGAAGAAGGUUAUGUUCACAUUGGAUUAGAAAAAUGAGUUACCUUAUAGUAAUUCAUGAGUUCAUUCAUUCAGUGGUCUUUGUGAGCCACCAGUAUGCACAAAGUAUUUUGGAUUAGAGAGAGAGAGAGAACAUAACCUGUGUGUUGAGAACAUACCUGUUUGUUUUCUAAAGCCCUUUUCAGUUUUUAACAGAAAUGAUAACAGGUCUGUAACCACUAGGUUUAUUAAUUGCCUUCCCCUUUCACCUGCCUAGAGACUUCCUGGCAUUGUCUGAAUCCUCCUUCUUUGCUAUAGAGAUUUUCCUGACUUCUUAUUCCACAUUGCCACCUCUUUUAUCUACUCCCCUGUUUUUCCUCGUUUUCAUUUCUUCACCUCAGGAAGCCUUUUCUCAUUGCAUACAACUCUUACUUGGUCCACUUCAUGAAGCUUAAUUUCAUUUUUUUUCUGGUUACCUCAGGAAUAAUUUACCACCUUUGUUCUGUCUUUGCAUCUCACAUUGGAUUGUAUCCCUCAUAGAUAUUCUGGUGUGUCCUUAGAAGUUUCUGUCUCCUGAUACUAUAGUCAGAAUCCCUUGCACACCUACUAUCUGCCAGGUGCUCUCUUGGGCCUCCUCAUCCUCCAGCAGUUCUAUUGUAAAAUAAUUGGAGUCAGGAACUAGCUGAACACCUUUUUGAAUUCUCAGUAUAUCCUUUGCACAUAGAAAAUAGCCUAUAAAUAUUAGUUGAUCAGACAGAGGAAGAAUGAUUAAUUGUACAUAGUAUUAAAAAUAUUUUUCAUUAUUUCAUAUGCAAGUAUAUUUUUGUUUCAUUGCCAAUAUUGCAAAAAUACUCCUUUUAUGGUAAAUACAAAGUCUCACCUGAUUUUAUGUUAAAUGUGCUUUUGUGGGAUCAGUAGGAACUAUUUAUUGCACUGCUUUUUUGGAAAAUGAUUCCCAAGUUCUAAACAACUAGCUGUGUAGAAACCAUUUUUGAAUACAAAUUGUAAGAUGUGGACUAUCUUUUCAGAAUUUUCUCCUUUGGAUUAAGUCUUUGGUAAAAGCACUUUGCAUUUCUUGUUCAAUGAAUGUUUUUUGUUUUCUUUUGUUUUUGUUUUUGCCACAAAGAUUCUUAAACUUUUUCGUUCUCAGGGAAUGAAGUAACUUCUAGAGCCAACUCGAAAUAGAUUGAAGAUUAACAGAUGUAGCACAUGUUUGCUGAUGUCAUAGGACUGUGACUUAGGAGAAGCAGACCUCCCACUAUAACUAAAAAUGGAAUUGAGUGCAGAACAUACCCAUUUACAGAUCAUUUAUUUUACAUUUCUUAUUGUCAAUGAAUAUACAUAUUAUUUUGAGAACUUGCCCAACAUUUAUCAGUUUAAGAACAGUAUCUAAGUUAUGUCAUAUCCAUACCUAUCCUGCUACCAUCCCACUUAGGACUUUAGUACCUCUUUACUGAACCACUGCACUAGCAUCCCACCCAUGUCCCAUAUACAUUCCUUCCCUGUCCAGCACACCACCAGGCCCAAACCUCCUCACACAUAUACACACCCUUUCAUAAAUGCUCCUCAAAAAUUCUAUGGUUCAGGCAUGGUGGUACAUACCUGUAAUCCCAGUGUCUUAGGAGGUUUAUGCAGGAGGAUUGCAAAUUCAAGGGUAGCCAUGCAACUUAGUGAGACCCUGCCUCAAAAUAAAAAAUAAAAAGGACUGGGGAUGUGGCUCAAUGGUUAAGCACUCCUUUUUUUUUUUUUUUUUUUGGUAUUGGGGAAUACCAAAAAAAAAAAGUAAACCAAUCCUUAUAUUUCCUAUUCUUUUCUGCCUUCCUUUCUUUUAUGAUUAGAAAAGAUAAAACAAGUAAAUAUACAGAAAGUUUUUGCUCACCAUUCCCCAAAGUCAUCCCUACCUCUUGUUCUCCACAGGUAUAUGUCUCUAUCCACUUAAAAAUGUCCAGGUGUCUUGAAGGGUCCAGUUUAAAAGUCACAUCAUAGUGUUUUCCUGGUCAUCUUUUUCAUCACAUAGACUAAUAACAUUUUCCUUAGUUCCCUGGGAACUUUAUACUUAUA